GGAAAGGGGGGCCACUGAAAAACCCUCUAAAUCCGCCUCUGAUGUGGCAUUAAACAUUCAUAUAUUGUACAUUUAUGUUUAUCUAAUGAAUUAAUUAUUAAGGCAAAUAAUUUAUAUGUUAUCAAGGUUUCAAUAGCAAUGAAUAUAUAAAUGUAUAUUUUUUAUGGUGAGUCUGCAGUGGUACAAGUUCGCAAUGAUUGUAGUUGUUCUAGUUGGUAGUUAACGUUGGUUUUAGUUGACUGUUAGUAGUACGUGUUGACUUAGUACGAACAUGUAAUAGUAUGAAAUUCAUACUAUUACAUGUUCGUACUAAGUCAACAUACUAUGAAUGGACUGGUUUCCCUGUAAAGAAAACUGAGUAUGUGUUCUAUAGUACAAUAGUUAUGCGACACAAAUCAGACAAAUGUUCACU
rnacentral:lncRNA from 1 species